rnacentral:lncRNA from 1 species
CUGUAUUAUGCGAGAAAAAUCAGAAGAUAUGGAUAAUUUUGUGAAUGCCUGAAAGGUGACUAGGAUCGUGAGAAAGAAGUGCCAUGGCAAUGAGAAAUUUCUAAAGUUAAGAAAAUAAUCAAAGGCUCAUUGACCCAUCUACAACAACAUGUGUUGCUAAAGUAUUGGAAUUCAGUGAUUUCCUUAUGUCCAAACAUCACACUAACCAAAGGUCAAAAUGGAGCUCUAAAAGCAAAAUUAAAUGUGAAAGAUUUUGUUUAUGCAAUGCCGUGGUUGCAAGAACAACUUUGCUCUCAUUCCAUUACUGGAAAGGCUUCAAAUGCCUAGCUUAAUUCAAAGAAAAGGAUGCAAAACCAGAGCCAGAGAAAGUUAAGAGUAUAUAUGCAGUGUCUAAAAGGUGCAAAAAGGUUUGGGGGAAAAGAGGCUGACAUAUGACAAGUUAUGGCACCAAAGAUUAAUAAUAUUGUGCAAGUUGAGAAAGCCAAGUUGAAAGCAUCUGGACAUCAGUAACUAUAUGACAUUCCAUUUUCUACUAUUUACAUGUUCUGUACAUGUAAAUAUAUUUAGUAUAAUAUAGCCUAGUUAUGUUUUUGCUAUUUCUUGCACAGUCAUUUCAUUUGGUGGGAAAACUGCAGCAUGGUAAUAAUUUUAUCUAGAAAAUAUUGAUUAAAUUUAUA